rnacentral:rRNA from 1 species
UUGACGGGACCGCACAAGCGGUGGAUGAUGUGGUUAAUUCGAUGCAACGCGAAAACCUUACCCACCUUUGACAUGUACGGAAGUUGCCAGAGAUGGCUUCGUGCUCGAAAGAGAGCCGUAACACAGGUGCUGCAUGGCUGUCGUCAGCUCGUGUCGUGAGAUGUUGGGUUAAGUCCCGCAACGAGCGCAACCCUUGUCAUUAGUUGCUACGAAAGGGCACUCUAAUGAGACUGCCGGUGACAAACCGGAGGAAGGUGGGGAUGACGUCAAGUCCUCAUGGCCCUUAUAGGUGGGGCUACACACGUCAUACAAUGGCUGGUACAAAGGGUUGCCAACCCGCGAGGGGGAGCCAAUCCCAUAAAGCCAGUCGUAGUCCGGAUCGCAGUCUGCAACUCGACUGCGUGAAGUCGGAAUCGCUAGUAAUCGUGGAUCAGCAUGUCACGGUGAAUACGUUCCCGGGUCUU